rnacentral:rRNA from 1 species
AGGACGAACGCUGGCGGCGUGCUUAACACAUGCAAGUCGAGCGGAAAGGCCCUUCGGGGUACUCGAGCGGCGAACGGGUGAGUAACACGUGAGCAACCUGCCCUUAGCUCCGGGAUAGCUCCGGGAAACCGGAAUUAAAUACCGGAUACGACCACGGCCGACAUCUGCUGUGGUGGAAAGGAUUCCGGCUAAGGAUGGGCUCGCGGCCUAUCAGCUAGUUGGUGGAGUAACGGCCCACCAAGGCGACG